rnacentral:rRNA from 1 species
GACGAACGCUGGCGGCGUGCUUAACACAUGCAAGUCGAACGCUGAAGCUCAGCUUGCUGGGUGGAUGAGUGGCGAACGGGUGAGUAACACGUGAGUAACCUGCCCCCUUCUUUGGGAUAACGCCCGGAAACGGGUGCUAAUACUGGAUAUUCACUGAUCUUCGCAUGGGGGUUGGUGGAAAGGUUUUUUCUGGUGGGGGAUGGGCUCGCGGCCUAUCAGCUUGUUGGUGGGGUGAUGGCCUACCAAGGCUUUGACGGGUAGCCGGCCUGAGAGGGUGACCGGUCACAUUGGGACUGAGAUCCGGCCCAGACUCCUACGGGAGGCAGCAGUGGGGAAUAUUGCACAAUGGGCGAAAGCCUGAUGCAGCGACGCCGCGUGAGGGAUGGAGGCCUUCGGGUUGUAAACCUCUUUCGCUCAUGGUCAAGCCGCAACAUUGGUUGUGGUGAGGGUAGUGGGUAAAGAAGCGCCGGCUAACUACGUG